rnacentral:ncRNA from 1 species
GGUCCUAGUCUUACUAUCAGCUGCUACUCAACUUACACAUGCAAGUCUCAGCACCCCCGUGAGAACGCCCCUAACCCUCCCCAGGACAGGGAGCUGGUAUCAGGCACAGAUUUCUAGCCCACAACACCUAGCAAAGCCACACCCUCAAGGGCAAUCAGCAGUGAUAAACAUUGAAAAUAAGCGUCAGCUUGAUUCAGUUAGAGUUUAUAGAGCCGGCCAACCCGGUGCCAGCCGCCGCGGCUACACCAUCGGACACAAGUUGAUAGUCUCCGGCGUUAAGCGUGUUUAGACCUCACAAUACUUAGAGUUAAAUUUAGGCUCAGUUGUAAUACACUUGCCCUAUAGAAGAACAUAACCGAAAGUUACUCUAAUCACUUUACUCGAAUCCACGACAGCUAAGAAACAAACUGGGAUUAGGUACCCCACUAUGCUUAGCAGUAAAACAUGUACUUACACCACAACCCGCCAGAGUAUUACGAGUAUAUACUUAAAACUCAAAGGACUUGACGGUGUCCCACCCACCUAGAGGAGCCUGUUCCGUAAUCGAUACCCCCCGCUAAACCUAACCAUUUCUUGCUUCUCAGCCUGUAUACCUCCGUCGCAAGCUUACCUUAUGAAUGACCAUUAGUGAGCAAAAAGGCUAUUACACCUAUACGUCAGGUCAAGGUGCAGCCUACGAAAUGGGGAGAAAUGGGCUACAAUUUCUACCACAGAACACACGAAAGACCCUGUGAAACUAAAUCAUGAAGGAGGAUUUAGUAGUAAAAAGGAAGUAGAGUGUCCUUUUUAACCCGGCACUGGGACGCGUACACACCGCCCGUCACCCUCUUCAAUACUACCCCCCCCGUAUUUAACACCUAGUAUAUAAAAAGAAGAAGUAAGUCGUAACAUGGUAAGCAUACUGGAAAGUGUGCUUGGAUUAAUCAAAAUAUAGCUUAACCAAAGCAUUUCGCUUACACCGAGAAUAUAUCUACUAAACCAGAUUAUUUUGAGCUACAAAUCUAGCCCCCACAAAUUUAUGCCUCCCUCACCCAAUCCCCUAAAAAAUAAAACAUUUUCUUAUCAUAGUAAAGGCGAUUAAAAACUUAAUAAGAGCUAUAGAACCAGUACCGCAAGGGAAUAAUGAAAUAGUAAUGAAAUAAACCUAAAGCACCUAAAAGCAGAGAUUUACCCUCGUACCUUUUGCAUCAUGGUCUAGCUAGUCUAACCAAGCAAAACCAAUUAUAGUUUGAACCCCCGAAAUUAAGUGAGCUACUUCAAAACAGCCUUAAGGGCCAACCCGUCUCUGUUGCAAAAGAGUGGGAAGAUUUUCAAGUAGAGGUGAUAAACCUACCGAACUUAAAGAUAGCUGGUUAUUCAGGAAAAGAACUUUAAUUCUACCUUAAGCUCUAAUUACCCUCUAAUACCACAAUAAGCUUAAGAGUUAAUCAAACAGGGUUCAGCCUGUUUGAUUUAGGGCACAACCAAAAUCAUAGGGUAAUGUAAUAAAGUUAUGACUAAGUGGGCCUAAGAGCAGCCACCUUUCAGAAGGCGUUACAGCUUUACCAUACACAACCAAUAAUUCUAUUACCAUCACAAAACCCUUACCCCAUACUGAAUAAUUUUAUAAUAAUAUAAAAGAUAUUAUGCUAGAACAAGUAACAAGAAACAGAACUUCUCUUAAAUGUAAGUAUAACCCAAAAUGAACAAAUCCUUGGCCAUUACUGCUAUGACCUAAAAGUAUUAACCUCUGCUAGAAAACCUUACUUACCAAAGCACUAACCUUACACAAGAACAUUACAAGAAAGAUUUAAAUAAGGGGAAGGAACUCGGCAAAUUUUAGCCUCGCCUGUUUACCAAAAACAUCGCCUCUUGACUAUAUAAGAGGUCCAGCCUGCCCAGUGACAAGUUUAACGGCCGCGGUACCCUAACCGUGCAAAGGUAGCAUAAUCACUUGUUCUUUAAAUAAGGACUAGUAUGAACGGCAUCACGAAGACUAUACUGUCUCCCCCCUAUAAUCAGUGAAACUGAUCUCCCCGUGAAGAAGCGGGGAUACACUUAUAAGACGAGAAGACCCCAUGGAGCUUAAAACUUAAGUUUCACCUGCCCCUUACUACAUCAUAAUAAUCCAGCAGGCAUGACUACUAGUUUUCGGUUGGGGUGACCACGGAGUAAAACCCAACCUCCACAAUGAACGGAACUAAACUCCUAACUUAAGAGCUACAACUCAAAAAAUUAAAAUACUAACAUACUUGACCCAAAUAUUGAUCAAUGAACCAAGUUACCCUGGGGAUAACAGCGCAAUCCAUUUUAAGAGCUCCUAUCGACAAAUGGGUUUACGACCUCGAUGUUGGAUCAGGGUGUCCUAGUGGUGCAGCCNCCNNCCGAGGGNGGGNUGGUCNANAANNAAGANACNC